rnacentral:lncRNA from 1 species
CUUUUGGUUCUAACAAGAGUUUUUGUUUUGCUUUUUAAUAAAGAAGAGAAAGGGGUUCCUUGGUUUUCUCCACAGAUGAAUGUUUUUACAAAAAAAGAGUAGUUUUGGAUGUAUACAUGCCACUUAGGAAAACCUUUUGUCCUUGAUCGCUUUUAAAACCCUUUUUUGGACAUCAUCAGGUCAUUUUGCGUAUUUUUGUGGACUGGCUGAUUUCCCCUGUGUUUUUGCCAGGUGACCGCUCUCCUUUUCAAUUUCCCCUCCCAGAAAGCAACUCGUAGGGAAGGGAGGGCCUUGAAAAGUGCCAUCGGCAGGAUGGCCUCCAAGGAAACAGAGCCCGUGGGAGUGGGCUCUGAAGGUGGGUGGCCCCAUGGGACAGGAGUGCCUGGUGGCCCUGGUUUCCCCUUGGAGACAUCUAUGCAGACUGGAAACGAAGAAACAGAAGGAGGCACGGAGUCGCUUUCUCUUAUAUUGUGGAUAUUUUAUCCCUGUCUUUCACAGCAGCAAUUUUAAUAAACAGAGGCCUCUGAAGUGUAAGUUAGCAGCCCUCACCCCGACAAGCUUCUAAAGACCAAAAAUACCUCUAUCCUCCACUACAUAAAGCUUGUGAGUAGCAAAACUUGUAAAAAUGAAGUGUACAAAAGGAAACAUCCGUAUAAUACAUUUGCACCCUGUAUACAAUGGGUCCCUUUGAAACUGGCCAACAGUCAGCGAUGGCAGAUUUUCAAUCAUAGAAAAAGAAGCCAGUGGCUGUCAUGCGCACUCAGGUCAAUGGUUUGUGUGGGUUCUCCAGAGAGAGAGAUUUUCCUUUACAGUUACAGUACUUGCUGGCGAUCUUGCUGAUUAAAAGGCCAGUUGAAUUUCCUGGCAUUUAGGCAAGUAACAUUUGAUUGUCACAACGUACAAUUCUGAGACAAUAAAUACAAGUAGAUCAGAUGCAUUUCUUCAUUGUAUCAAGUAACUCCAGUUUAAUGUAAUACAAUUUAGUGCAUUUCAGUAUCUCAUUCACAGUUCGACUUCUGUCCAAAUACUUGUGCAACA